UAUUAUCCUCACAAAUAAAUUCUUCAUUAUUGAUAAGAAAUCAAAAAACAAGACAAACUUUGAAAGAAAAUUUCAAAAACUAUAUUUGUGACUGACCAAUUUAAUUAUAGGAAAUAUAUGCAAGGAUAUACUAAUCUUGCUUUUGAGUCAUUUUACAGGUUUGUUGGUGGAGUACUAGUUUGCACAUUUACUUGAUAUCUUCCACACAAAUAUGGAUCAAGAAGAAGAGGAAAUGCCAAAAGUAAAGCAUAGAGGUAGUACAUUGAAACCAGAGAUUGCAAAAAAUCGAAGUAAAGGGAUAAAACUCAAGAUUGAAUACAAUAGCCUUGGUAGUCACAUUGGGGAAAAUUCAGUUGAACUAAGUAGUUAUCUUGGUACAAUAACUAGAACCCAUGUGCCAAUAAUUGUUUAGAGUUGGAGGAAAGUCCCUAAAGAGACUAAGGAGAAGUUAUGGGAUUUGAUCACGGUAAGUCUAUCUAUAGCUUUCAUAUAUAAUUAUUGUAUACAUUCAUUAACAUGAUCUAACAUGGGUUGCUAUUUUGUAGACAAGCUUUAAUGUGAAUCAAAAUUCCAAAAAGAAUUGUUUCCUACUAAUGGGCAUCAGGUUUCGAACCUUUAAGUACAGGUUGACAAAGAAAUAUAUAUUGCCUUUCAAGAAUGACCCAGAAAAGCUGAAAAAGCCACCUCCUAUCUACCCAUUCAUACAAGAGGAUCAUUGGAGACAGUUUGUUAAAGAUAGACUUUCUGAACAUUUUAAUGUUAAGCAUUAUUUUUAAUACAUCUUCAAUUUUUACAUUUACAUAGUUUCACCAUCCACUAAUUUUGUGUCUAUAUUUUUUAGGAAUAUCGCAAGGUUCAGAAAUCGAGAAGAGAUAAACACAUUUACAAUCAUUACCUUGGAAGAAAAGGAUAUGCACGUUUUGAGCAGGAUAUACUACAAGCAGAAGGGGGUAUUGGUAGGGUUGAUAGAAGUGUUUUAUGGAAGAAAGCACGUGAGAAGAAAGGAAAGUUUAAUAAGAUUACAGAGCCAGUGAUUAACAUGAUAGAUGAAUUACUAGAAAAUGCUAAGGAGAUUGGGUUACCUCCACCUGGUCCAAAUGACAUAUUAGGUCAGGCAUUGGGUAAGCCUGAUCAUCCAGGACGUGUGGUAGGUCAAGACCGUUUGGUUAGGCCUAGCUCAUACUUUCAUCAACCAUCUGAUGACAUGAAAAAAAUCAAAGAAGAAAUAUGGGAAAUGGUACGAAAAGAGAUGGAAGAUGCUGCAACAAGACAAGUUAUGUCACCCCCCACACCCCAUUCUGAUAUGGGUAGUAAUAACAUGAGACAACAACUUGUUUUACAACCAGUUGUAGCAGAAAAACCAAUGUUUAAAAUGAUAGAAGAGCCCCAACCACCAGAACCACCAGUGAAACACAAGGUAUGCAUUUACUUACUAAUAACACAAGAUUAAUAUAAGUGAUAUAAAGCCUAUGUAAACGAUAUUAUUUGUUGUAUUGAAGGUAAUUAAAUGUAAAUUAGCAGUGGAAAGAAAAGGAAAUGUUGUUGCAACUGGUACACUAAUAGAAGAAAAAGGAUCGAAUAGGUUGGUUGUAAUAAAUGUUGCACACAAGCCAGAUGCUAGAUUCCCAUUUCCAAAUCCAUAUGGGAUUAUCAAUGUUGGGGAUGCUAUUGGCUUUGAGCUUGAUUGGCCAACAAGCCUUGUCAUACUUGAAACUGAACAUCCUCAGGUGUUGGAUAAAGGAAAGAAGAAGAUAGUGAAGACACCAAUUAUUCGAAAAUCUAAGCCUCAAAAUCAUUCGGUCAUUAAAAAUUUUCAGAAAUUUGUGGAUGGUUGUCUUGGUAAUGACAAGACAUACCCAAUACAACUCCCCAUUUCACUAUUUGGUGUCAAAUUUCAAACAUAUAUAUCUAGAGAGGAUUGUGAAUACAUUAUUUCAUCUUUAGAGGUGUCAUCAAACUGCAUCUCCUUCUAUUUAUGGUGUGCACCUUUUAUCUUCAUUUGUUUUUAUUUUUUUAAUAUGAGUUGCACAUGUUGAACGAAAUUGGAUAUGACUAAUGAUAAUUUUCUUUUGGUGUUUUGAUACAAUAAUAGGCACAUGCAUGAUCAACUACAUAUUGCCAAAAAGGAGUCACAAUUUAUAUUUGUUAAUCCUUUUACAAUAUCACGAGCAGGCCUUAGUACUCCUCAAAUAGAGAAAAGAGCACAAUUGUUGUCAAAACGCUUAAUGGAGUGCCAAGAUGCUAAAUAUGUUUUCAUACCUUACAACCCUGACUUUCAUUGGGUCUUGGUAGUGAUUGAGCCAAGGAAAAUGAUAGUCCACUAUCUUGACCCUAUGCAUCACAAACCAUGUGAGGACUUAAAGGAUAUCGUAAACAUGUA